GAUCAUGGCUCAGAUUGAACGCUGGCGGCAGGCUUAACACAUGCAAGUCGAGCGGAGUUGUGGUGCUUGCACCAUAACUUAGCGGCGGACGGGUGAGUAAUGCUUAGGAAUCUGCCUAUUAGUGGGGGACAACAUUUCGAAAGGAAUGCUAAUACCGCAUACGCCCUACGGGGGAAAGCAGGGGAUCUUCGGACCUUGUGCUAAUAGAUGAGCCUAAGUCGGAUUAGCUAGUUGGUGGGGUAAAGGCCUACCAAGGCGACGAUCUGUAGCGGGUCUGAGAGGAUGAUCCGCCACACUGGGACUGAGACACGGCCCAGACUCCUACGGGAGGCAGCAGUGGGGAAUAUUGGACAAUGGGCGCAAGCCUGAUCCAGCCAUGCCGCGUGUGUGAAGAAGGCCUUUUGGUUGUAAAGCACUUUAAGCGAGGAGGAGGCUCCUAUAGUUAAUACCUAUAGAGAGUGGACGUUA
rnacentral:rRNA from 1 species